AUGAACGCUAGCUACAGGCUUAACACAUGCAAGUCGAGGGGCAGCAUUUUAGUUUGCUUGCAAACUGAAGAUGGCGACCGGCGCACGGGUGAGUAACACGUAUCCAACCUGCCGAUAACUCCGGGAUAGCCUUUCGAAAGAAAGAUUAAUACCGGAUAGCAUACGAAUAUCGCAUGAUAUUUUUAUUAAAGAAUUUCGGUUAUCGAUGGGGAUGCGUUCCAUUAGUUUGUUGGCGGGGUAACGGCCCACCAAGACUACGAUGGAUAGGGGUUCUGAGAGGAAGGUCCCCCACAUUGGAACUGAGACACGGUCCAAACUCCUACGGGAGGCAGCAGUGAGGAAUAUUGGUCAAUGGGCGCGAGCCUGAACCAGCCAAGUAGCGUGAAGGAUGAAGGCUCUAUGGGUCGUAAACUUCUUUUAUAUGGGAAUAAAGUUUUCCACGUGUGGAAUUUUGUAUGUACCAUAUGAAUAAGGAUCGGCUAACUCCGUGCCAGCAGCCGCGGUAAUACGGAGGAUCCGAGCGUUAUCCGGAUUUAUUGGGUUUAAAGGGAGCGUAGGUGGAUUGUUAAGUCAGUUGUGAAAGUUUGCGGCUCAACCGUAAAAUUGCAGUUGAAACUGGCAGUCUUGAGUACAGUAGAGGUGGGCGGAAUUCGUGGUGUAGCGGUGAAAUGCUUAGAUAUCACGAAGAACUCCGAUUGCGAAGGCAGCUCACUAGACUGUCACUGACACUGAUGCUCGAAAGUGUGGGUAUCAAACAGGAUUAGAUACCCUGGUAGUCCACACAGUAAACGAUGAAUACUCGCUGUUUGCGAUAUACAGUAAGCGGCCAAGCGAAAGCAUUAAGUAUUCCACCUGGGGAGUACGCCGGCAACGGUGAAACUCAAAGGAAUUGACGGGGGCCCGCACAAGCGGUGGAGCAUGUGGUUUAAUUCGAAGCAACGCGAAGAACCUUACCAAGUCUUGACAUCCCGAUGACCAAGUAUGUAAUGUACUCUCUCUUCGGAGCAUCGGUGACAGGUGGUGCAUGGUUGUCGUCAGCUCGUGUCGUGAGAUGUUGGGUUAAGUCCCGCAACGAGCGCAACCCUUAUGGUCAGUUACUACGCAAGAGGACUCUGGCAGGACUGCCGUUGACAAAACGGAGGAAGGUGGGGAUGACGUCAAAUCAUCAUGCCCUUUAUGACUUGGGCUACACACGUACUACAAUGGCGUUAAACAAAGAGAAGCAAGACCGCGAGGUGGAGCAAAACUCAGAAACAACGUCCCAGUUCGGACUGCAGGCUGCAACUCGCCUGCACGAAGUCGGAAUUGCUAGUAAUCGCAGAUCAGCAUGCUGCGGUGAAUACGUUCCCGGGCCUUGUACACACCGCCCGUCACACCAUGAGAGCCGGGGGGACCCGAAGUCGGUAGUCUAACCGCAAGGAGGACGCCGCCGAAGGUAAAACUGGUGAUUGGGGUG
rnacentral:rRNA from 1 species